rnacentral:rRNA from 1 species
AUACGGAGGGUGCAAGCGUUACUCGGAAUCACUGGGCGUAAAGCGCGCGCAGGCGGCUAUUUAAGUUGGAUGUGAAAGCCUACGGCUCAACCGUAGAACUGCAUCCAAAACUAUUUAGCUAGAGUGUGGGAGAGGAAGAUGGAAUUAGUUGUGUAGGGGUAAAAUCCGUAGAGAUAACUAGGAAUACCAAAAGCGAAGGCAAUCUUCUGGAACACUACUGACGCUGAGGCGCGAAAGCGUGGGGAGCAAACGGGAUUAGAAACCCUAGUAGUCC